UGGAUCACCUCCUAACAGGGAGACAACAAAAUGUUUAAUAUUAUUAUUUUGUCACCUUAGGUCGAUCGGUAUCUCACGUUUUUAAUUUAUUAAGAAUUUCAUUUCCUAAGUUUUUCUAGGUCACACCCAUUAUUUUUCCUGGGCCAUUAGCUCAGGUGGUUAGAGCGCACCCCUGAUAAGGGUGAGGUCCCUGGUUCAAGUCCAGGAUGGCCCAUAUCUCAAUGUUGGGGGUAUAGCUCAGUUGGUAGAGCGCCUGCUUUGCAAGCAGGAUGUCAGCGGUUCGAGUCCGCUUACCUCCACUGAUCACCAACUCUUCCAUAAUCGGUAGAAAGGAAAUUUUUUGAGUUGUGAUCAAAUUCUGAAAGAAUCUAGCUUCCUAAUGAAAUCAUUAAGAUGCUGGACUCAUUGAAUUAAUUUCAUUGUUUUCAGAGAACCUUGACAACUGCAUAGAUUAUUUUUAAAGACAAUAAGCAUCUUUAAUGAUGCAGAUUUAUUAUUUGUGCAAAUGCAUUAAUAACAAUUCUAUUAAGCUGAUGCUUCAAUAUUUGAAGUUAUUGGUCAAGCUACAAAGGGCUCACGGAGGAUACCUAGGCACACAGAGGCGAUGAAGG
rnacentral:tRNA from 1 species